rnacentral:rRNA from 1 species
CUUUUGCUGGCGACCGGCGCACGGGUGAGUAACACGUAUCCAACCUGCCCUUUACUCGGGGAUAGCCUUUCGAAGGAAAGAUUAAUACCCGAUAGCAUAAUGAUUCCGCAUGGUUUCAUUAUUAAAGGAUUCCGGUAAAGGAUGGGGAUGCGUUCCAUUAGGUUGUUGGUGAGGUAACGGCUCACCAAGCCUUCGAUGGAUAGGGGUUCUGAGAGGAAGGUCCCCCACAUUGGAACUGAGACACGGUCCAA